rnacentral:rRNA from 1 species
UGGGGAAUCUUGCACAAUGGGGGCAACCCUGAUGCAGCGACGCCGCGUGAGCGAUGAAGCCCUUCGGGGCGUAAAGCUCUUUCGACCGGAACGAUAAUGACGGUACCGGGAGAAGAAGCUGCGGCUAACUACGUGCCAGCAGCCGCGGUAAUACGUAGGCAGCAAGCGUUGUUCGGAGUUACUGGGCGUAAAGAGUGCGUAGGCGGUUUUCUAAGUUCGGUGUGAAAUCUCCCGGCUUAACUGGGAGGGUGCGCCGAAGACUGGGAAGCUGGAGUGUGGGAAAGGCAGGCGGAAUUCCUGGUGUAGCUGUGAAAUGCGUAGAUAUCAGGAGGAACACCGGCGGUGUAGACGGCUUGCUAGACCAUAACUGACGCUGAGGCACGAAAGCGUGGGUAGCAAACA